UACGAGGGGGGCGAGCGUUUGUUCGGAAUUAUUGGGCGUAAAGGGUGCGUAGGCGGUUCCGCAAGUCCUGUGUGAAAUCUUCGGGCUCAACUCGAAGUCUGCACGGGAAACUGCGGGGCUUGAGUGUGGGAGAGGAAAGUGGAAUUCCUGGUGUAGCGGUGAAAUGCGUAGAUAUCGGGAAGAACACCCGUGGCGAAGGCGGCUCUCUGGGACGGUACUGACGCUGAGACGCGAAAGCGUGGGGAGCGAACAGG
rnacentral:rRNA from 1 species